GAUGAACGCUGGCGGCGUGCUUAACACAUGCAAGUCGAACGGAAAGGCUCCUGCUUGCAGGGGUACUCGAGUGGCGAACGGGUGAGUAACACGUGGGUGAUCUGCCCUGCACUUCGGGAUAAGCCUGGGAAACUGGGUCUAAUACCGGAUAGGACGAUGGUUUGGAUGCCAUUGUGGAAAGUUUUUUCGGUGUGGGAUGAGCUCGCGGCCUAUCAGCUUGUUGGUGGGCUAAUGGCCUACCAAGGCGUCGACGGGUAGCCGGCCUGAGAGGGUGUACGGCCACAUUGGGACUGAGAUACGGCCCAGACUCCUACGGGAGGCAGCAGUGGGGAAUAUUGCACAAUGGGCGCAAGCCUGAUGCAGCGACGCCGCGUGGGGGAUGACGGCCUUCGGGUUGUAAACUCCUUUCGCUAGGGACGAAGCGCAAGUGACGGUACCUGGAGAAGAAGCACCGGCUAACUACGUG
rnacentral:rRNA from 1 species